CUCCGUAGGGGUAACCUGCGGAGGGAUCAUUACUGAGUUACCGCUCUAUAACCCUUUGUGAACAUACCUAACCGUUGCUUCGGCGGGCAGGGGAAGCCUCUCGCGGGCCUCCCCUCCCGGCGCCGGCCCCACCACGGGGACGGGGCGCCCGCCGGAGGAAACCAAACUCUAUUUACACGACGUCUCUUCUGAGUGGCACAAGCAAAUAAUUAAAACUUUUAACAACGGAUCUCUUGGUUCUGGCAUCGAUGAAGAACGCAGCGAAAUGCGAUAAGUAAUGUGAAUUGCAGAAUUCAGUGAAUCAUCGAAUCUUUGAACGCACAUUGCGCUCGCCAGCAUUCUGGCGAGCAUGCCUGUUCGAGCGUCAUUUCAACCCUCAAGCACCGCUUGGUUUUGGGGCCCCACGGCACACGUGGGCCCUUAAAGGUAGUGGCGGACCCUCCCGGAGCCUCCUUUGCGUAGUAACUAACGUCUCGCACUGGGAUUCGGAGGGACUCUUGCCGUAAAACCCCCCAAUUUUUUACAGGUUGACCUCGGAUCAGGUAG
rnacentral:rRNA from 1 species